rnacentral:rRNA from 1 species
CAGCAGUAGGGAAUCUUCCACAAUGGACGAAAGUCUGAUGGAGCAACGCCGCGUGUGUGAUGAAGGGUUUCGGCUCGUAAAACACUGUUGUAAGAGAAGAAUGACAUUGAGAGUAACUGUUCAAUGUGUGACGGUAUCUUACCAGAAAGGAACGGCUAAAUACGUGCCAGCAGCCGCGGUAAUACGUAUGUUCCAAGCGUUAUCCGGAUUUAUUGGGCGUAAAGCGAGCGCAGACGGUUAUUUAAGUCUGAAGUGAAAGCCCUCAGCUCAACUGAGGAAUUGCUUUGGAAACUGGAUGACUUGAGUGCAGUAGAGGAAAGUGGAACUCCAUGUGUAGCGGUGAAAUGCGUAGAUAUAUGGAAGAACACCAGUGGCGAAGGCGGCUUUCUGGACUGUAACUGACGUUGAGGCUCGAAAGUGUGGGUAGCAAACAGGAUUAGA